UGGGGAAUCUUGCACAAUGCGCGAAAGCGUGAUGCAGCAACGCCGCGUGGGGGAAGACGGCCUUCGGGUUGUAAACCCCUUUCAGUUGGGACGAAGCUUUGCCGGUUAAUAGCCGGUUGGAGUGACGGUACCUUCAGAAGAAGCCCCGGCUAACUACGUGCCAGCAGCCGCGGUAAUACGUAGGGGGCAAGCGUUGUCCGGAAUCAUUGGGCGUAAAGCGCGUGUAGGCGGCUCGAUAAGUCUGCUGUGAAAGUCCAAGGCUCAACCUUGGGAUGCCGGUGGAUACUGUCGAGCUCGAGUCCGGAAGAGGAGUGUGGAAUUCCUGGUGUAGCGGUGAAAUGCGCAGAUAUCAGGAGGAACACCAAUGGCGAAGGCAGCACUCUGGGACGUGACUGACGCUGAGACGCGAAAGCGUGGGGAGCAAACA
rnacentral:rRNA from 1 species